AGAGUUUGAUCCUGGCUCAGAACGAACGCUGGCGGCAGGCCUAACACAUGCAAGUCGAGCGCGCCUUUCGGGUGAGCGGCGGACGGGUUAGUAACGCGUGGGAACGUGCCCAUAUCUACGGAAUAGCCUCUGGAAACGGUGAGUAAUACCGUAUACGCCCUUUGGGGGAAAGAUUUAUCGGAGAAGGAUCGGCCCGCGUUAGAUUAGGUAGUUGGUGGGGUAAUGGCCUACCAAGCCUACGAUCUAUAGCUGGUUUUAGAGGAUGAUCAGCAACACUGGGACUGAGACACGGCCCAGACUCCUACGGGAGGCAGCAGUGGGGAAUCUUAGACAAUGGGGGCAACCCUGAUCUAGCCAUGCCGCGUGAGUGAUGAAGGCCUUAGGGUCGUAAAGCUCUUUCGCCUGUGAUGAUAAUGACAGUAGCAGGUAAAGAAACCCCGGCUAACUCCGUGCCAGCAGCCGCGGUAAUACGGAGGGGGUUAGCGUUGUUCGGAAUUACUGGGCGUAAAGCGCGCGUAGGCGGAUUAGAAAGUUGGGGGUGAAAUCCCGAGGCUCAACCCCGGAACUGCCUCCAAAACUGCUAGUCUAGAGUUCGAGAGAGGUGAGUGGAAUUCCGAGUGUAGAGGUGAAAUUCGUAGAUAUUCGGAGGAACACCAGUGGCGAAGGCGGCUCACUGGCUCGAUACUGACGCUGAGGUGCGAAAGUGUGGGGAGCAAACAGGAUUAGAUACCCUGGUAGUCCACACCGUAAACGAUGAAUGCCAGUCGUCGGAUAGUAUACUAUUCGGUGACACACCUAACGGAUUAAGCAUUCCGCCUGGGGAGUACGGUCGCAAGAUUAAAACUCAAAGGAAUUGACGG
rnacentral:rRNA from 1 species